rnacentral:rRNA from 1 species
UACGUAGGGUGCGAGCGUUGUCCGGAAUUAUUGGGCGUAAAGGGCUCGUAGGCGGUUUGUCGCGUCGGGAGUGAAAUCCACUGGCUUAACUGGUGGCUUGCUUUCGAUACGGGCAGACUGGAGGUAUGCAGGGGAGAACGGAAUUCCUGGUGUAGCGGUGAAAUGCGCAGAUAUCAGGAGGAACACCGGUGGCGAAGGCGGUUCUCUGGGCAUGUCCUGACGCUGAGGAGCGAAAGCAUGGGGGAGCGAACAGG